rnacentral:rRNA from 1 species
UGGGGAAUAUUGCACAAUGGGCGCAAGCCUGAUGCAGCCAUGCCGCGUGUGUGAAGAAGGCCUUCGGGUUGUAAAGCACUUUCAGCGGGGAGGAAGGCGUUAAGGUUAAUAACCUUGGCGAUUGACGUUACCCGCAGAAGAAGCACCGGCUAACUCCGUGCCAGCAGCCGCGGUAAUACGGAGGGUGCAAGCGUUAAUCGGAAUUACUGGGCGUAAAGCGCACGCAGGCGGUCUGUCAAGUCGGAUGUGAAAUCCCCGGGCUCAACCUUGGAACUGCAUUCGAAACUGGCAGGCUAGAGUCUUGUAGAGGGGGGUAGAAUUCCAGGUGUAGCGGUGAAAUGCGUAGAGAUCUGGAGGAAUACCGGUGGCGAAGGCGGCCCCCUGGACAAAGACUGACGCUCAGGUGCGAAAGCGUGGGGAGCAAACAGG